rnacentral:lncRNA from 1 species
UCACGCAAUAGGUAUUAAAGACCCGCAAAAACAAUAACAUUAUAGCGAUAAUUAAUGAAAACAAAUUUUCACUUCAUUUCAUGGAAGAAAUACAAAGCGCUAAAUAGCUAAGGUACAUUAGUUUCUUCUUCUCCCCUAUCAGUGUCUUAGCUCACGUUGUCAAUCUUAGUAGGAGGGAUCAUGUUGUCAUUCUCAACUGGGUCCUUGUCUAAGUAGAAAUCUUCUGAGUUUUUCCAGGUGGACACGAAUAAGUCCC